GCCAUGCUAGUCGCACGGGUUUAGACCCGUGGCGAAUAGCUCAGUAACACGUGGCCAAACUACCCUGUGGACGGGGAUAACCUCGGGAAACUGAGGCUAAUCCCCGAUACGGCUCUCAUGCUGGAGUGCAGAGAGCCGGAAACGUUCUGGCGCCACAGGAUGUGGCUGCGGCCGAUUAGGUAGACGGUGGGGUAACGGCCCACCGUGCCUAUAAUCGGUACGGGUCAUGAGAGUGAGAGCCCGGAGACGGUAUCUGAGACAAGAUACCGGGCCCUACGGGGCGCAGCAGGGGCGGAACCUUUACACUGCACGACAGUGCGAUAAGGGGACUCCGAGUGCGAGGGCAUACAGUCCUCGCUUUUCUGUACCCUAAGGUGGUACAGGAACAAGUGCUGGACAAGACCGGUGCCAGCCGCCGCGGUAAUACCGGCAGCACGAGUGAUGGCCGAUAUUAUUGGGCCUAAAGCGUCCGUAGCCGGCCGGACAAGUCCGUUGGGAAAUCGACGUGCCUAACACGUCGGCGUCCAGCGGAAACUGUCCGGCUUGGGGCCGGAAGACUCGAGGGGUACGUCCGGGGUAGGAGCGAAAUCCUGUAAUCCUGGACGGACCGCCGGUGGCGAAAGCGCCUCGAGAGGACGGACCCGACGGUCAGGGACGAAAGCUAGGGUCUCGAACCGGAUUAGAUACCCGGGUAGUCCUAGCUGUAAACAAUGCUCGCUAGGUGUGGCGCAGGCUACGAGCCUGCGCUGUGCCGUAAGGAAGCCGUGAAGCGAGCCGCCUGGGAAGUACGUCUGCAA
rnacentral:rRNA from 1 species